rnacentral:rRNA from 1 species
AAAAUAUCUAUCCUCCCUCUAAGCCUAGGUAGAAAACUAAGUUAUAAGACAAGGAUGAACACGAUAUAUGGUACUUUUUAAAAUCUGGUUCCCAAAGAAAUAAAACAUUUUAAAAAGAAUUUUAAAAUAAUGUAUUUAGCUUAUGCUGAGUAUAUAUUAGUGAGCAACUAAUUUAAAAAUAUUUAAGGAAUAAUAGUCCCCUCUGUUAUAAUAAAUUACUAUUGACCUAAUUUAUUUAUUAAGCUUCUCUUCUUAUUUGGGUAAUUAAUUCUAAGAAUUAGAACUUGUUUACACUAGUAAAUAUACUUUUAUUAUUUUCUUACUUAAAAUAAGUUUUAUCAAUUUUAAAUUAAAUAUAAACUAAAUAACUUGAGAUUCUCCAAACUGUUUAACAAAGACAUAGUAAGACUGUGUCUUAUGUAUCUGCCCAAUGAAUAAUUUUUUAUGGCUUUAAAGUAGCGCAAUAAUUAGUUUAUUAAUUGUAAACCUGUAUGAAGCUAGCAUUGGUUAAUCAUGUUUAUCCUUAUCUGUUGAAUCUUAGUUAUCAGUACAAACGCUGAUAUGCCCCCCGAAGACGAUAAGACCCUAAGACCUUCACCUUGUUUGGCUGGGAUAGCCUACUUAAUAUAAUAAAGAAACCUUAAUUAUUACGAACCAAUUAUUUUGCUAUACAUAGGUACCUUAGGGAUAACAGCGCGUAAUACUUUUAGAGCUCUUAUUUAAAAGAUAUUCGUGACCUCGAUGUUGAAUUAAGUAAUAUAGUGCUGCAGAAGGUGCUAUUUUAAGUCUGUUCGACU